rnacentral:rRNA from 1 species
AGAACGAGGAGAACUAACAAGGAUUCCCGUAGUAACGGCGAGUGAACUGGGAAGAGUCCAGCGCUUAAUCGUGUUGCCUUUUGGUUUCACGAGGUGUAGCGUAUAGGUGUUGCUUUUUGUUGAAUUUUUUGGUACAAGUUACCCUGGAUUGGGGCUCCACAGAAGGUGAUAGGCCUGUACUACUCGAAAGAUUUAGCAAAUGGUUUCGCUUUGGAGUCGGGUUGUUUGGAAACGCAGCCCAAAGUAGGUGGUAAACUUCACCUAAGACUAAAUAUCACUACGAAUCCGAUAGCAAACAAGUACCGUGAGGGAAAGUUGAAAAGCACUUUGAAGAGAGAGUUAAAGAGCACGUGAAAUCGGUAAGGUGGAAACGGAUAGAGUUGACGUAUCUGGCUUGUAUUCAGCUGUUGAUUAUUGGUGUCGGUUGGUUGUAACAAAUGUUAGGUUUACUUAGCAAAUGUUCGGCUAGCUUGUGCGCUAGUAUUUGAUAGUGCAUUUACGAGCCUAUGUGCGCUGGGACAUGCGCGUUGGCUGCUAUGAUGAAGAAAGGUAAGAGGAUACUUGGCUUAAUUGUUGAGUAAACCGGGCACUGACUCAAGCAGUUCGAUGUGCAUGUAGUAUUGACAUGGCCUCACGAAUAGUAUAGUUGUUGUGUUUGUGAAGUAUGGCGGUCGCAUGCGACACGUGUACUCUCUAUGAGCAUAGCAGUUGUAUUGUUCACUUGUCUAUUCCCGGUGUAAGAGUCAAUCAUCUAUCCGACCCGUCUUGAAACACGGACCAAGGAGUUUAACGUAUGCGCGAGUCAUUGGGUGUUAAAAACCUAAAGGCGUAAUGAAAGUAAAUGCAUUCUUGAAAUGCUUAUAUGCGAUCUGAUACACUACGGUGUAACAGCGCAGCAUAGCCCCGUUCUUAUUGCUUGCAAUGGAGCGGAGGAAGAGCGUAUGCGUUGAGACCCGAAAGAUGGUGAACUAUGCCUGAGCAGGACGAAGCCAGAGGAAACUCUGGUGGAAGUCCGAAUCGGUUCUGACGUGCAAAUCGAUCGUCUGACUUGGGUAUAGGGGCGAAAGACUAAUCGAACUAUCUAGUAGCUGGUUCUCUCUGAAGUUUCCCCCAGGAUAGCUGGAGCGAUGCUUAAAAGUUAUACUCGGUAAAGCGAACGAUUAGAGGAUUUGGGGACGAUAUGUCCUUAACCUAUUCUCAAACUCUAAAUGAGUAUGGAAAUUCGAGUUUCUUGAUUUAUGAACUCGGAUGUUGAAUGAAGCGCUCCAAGUGGGCCAUUUUUGGUAAGCAGAACUGGCGAUGCGGGAUGAACCGAACGCGGUGUUAAGGUGCCUAAGUUUCCGCUCAUUAGACCCCAUAAAAGGUGUUGGUUGAUUAAGACAGCAGGUCGGUGGCCAUGGAAGUCGGAAUCCGCUAAGGAGUGUGUAACAACUCACCUGCCGAAUCAACUAGCCCUGAAAAUGGAUGGCGCUGGAGCGGAACACCUAUACUCCGCCGUUAGUUGCUUGAACAUGAAUUUAACUAGCCACUGGAUUUUAGGCUAGUGUCUGGCACUAAC